AAGUGCUCAAUAAAUGCGAUUGAAUGGAAGCGCCCUGGGGGCCUGGAACCUGCCGCUUUUUUAUUCUGUACCUGUCUGGUGCCCAGAACGUUGCGCUGCACAAUCCGGGCGCUCGGGAAAUAUUUAUACUAACGCACCAUUACUUCUGCGUUUCCGCCCUGGCCAGUGCCUCCGUCGAUUGGCGCCCCCAGUCUCAGGCUCCGGGGGAGGGAAGGCACGCCCGACCUGCUUCCCCCGCGUCCACCUCCUCCCCCGACCGGUCGUUUUUCUGUUUUAACAGCUGAGGUUCCGGCGGGCAAGGCGUCAUCGUUCGGAUCUUGUGGCCGUUACCGUUGGGAGGGCCGUUUAUCCUUGGCCUGGGGCCAGGCGGUGGGACCUGAGAGCCGACUGUUUUGCAGAGGGCUGUCCUGCCCUGGGGCCCAGGAAGCGGCCCCCCAACAGACCCUCUUACGUCCGUGCCGCCCGCUGUAACGGUGCUGCUCCCUGGUUGACGUCCAAGCCCUCUCCUGCCCCCAGGGCACCUGGGAGUGUGGCUACUGUUCCAGUUUUAUCCGGAGCUACCGGGCUCCUCUAGCCGAGACCUCGGGCCCCAAGGAACCCAGCGAGGAAGCAGUCUGGGGUCCUGCCCUUUCACCCGGUGCCUCCCCUCCUCUGGAAGUUGGCGGACCACGGCCUGUGACCAAAGCCUUAGGCCGGCUUCCGAUGGAACACCGGAGCAAAACCCAACAUUCCUGGAGGUCCUGGAGGAAUGGGAAGCUGCUGCCCUGACAGUGGGGUCAUUUGAAAAAAGCACAAUGAGAAAACCAAACAGUUUUCAGAGAAGGAGCGGCAUCUGUAGUCGAAGGGAUUCCGAUCGGACGUGAAGCCAACUGGGAGGCUGUAGGUGAUUUGAAGGUGGGGAACACCUCCGUCUUCUUUAUCAGGCUGCAGGUUCAAUCCUGGUCAUCCAGUCGACCGGUGGAUCCAUCUGUCAGCAUUUAUUAAGUUUCUACUAAACGCAAAACAUUUUACUAAGCACUUGACCGGUAGAAGCGAAAGAAACAUAUUCCCCACCCCACUGCCCCCGCCCACGGGGAUCUUAAGUCUAAUGGGUACAUGAGGCAAGUAAGAAGACUCAGCAUCCUUUCUGGGGACUGAACCACUUGAUCUUUGACCCGAUUUGUAAUGAAAAACAGUGGCCAAGUUCAAAGUCGGGCGUUCCCUCCCACUGCCGGUACAAGCGGGACCUCCUUUCCCCUGAAAGUGGGCCUCUGGAGGUCAUGGCAACCGAGAUGAUCUGCUCCUCAUUUGGGAAACAGUGGUCGUUUUAGUAGCGGAAUAGCCAGGGCGCCUCCUUUCCGUAAGGUUCUUCGCCGCUUUGACCAACUCAAGAAAAUAAUAAAUAAGCCAGAGAUUUGCACCGGUGAGAGAACAAACCUGAGACAGCUCAUGUGCCCUGUAAACAAGUUUGUGUAGUGCGCAUAUGUGUGGGUUUGCUCGCGGGCGUGCGCGUGGGCGUGCGGGGCAUUCCGAUACAUCUCCAGCAGGGGUAUUAGGGAUUUGGCAUCUGUACAUUUCAUCCAGCGGUCUGGAAACGAUCGUCUCGGCCGUUUCCCUGAUGCAGCGAUUGCGUGGACGACGGACGAACGUUCUUGUCCGGAGGCGACCCGGCACACGGGGUCGGCUGGUCAUUUCCCCGGGGGAGAGCCAGGUGGCUCACAGGGGGACCACGGCCGGGUUCAUCUCCAGCCCCCGUGCUUGGGGGAGGAUGCAGGUCUGCCCUGCUGGCCGCCACGGAGUUGCCAGCUGUGGGCCAGCUUGUUGCCAGGCAGCUCCCAACGCUUCCAUUUGCCAUUUCCUGCCCGGCCCUCUCCACCUGUCUCUCAACCAUCCCUAUUGUUUUUGGGGAGUGGGGCUCAGGGAGCGUCUCAAGAGACCCCCGGGGCUGAGCCUGGAGCCCUGAGGGACCGCCUGCCCGCCCCGCCCCUUGUGUUGGCUGUAGUGGUGCCCGGCAGGAGGGCAGAGGUCUCUGGGCUCUCUGUGGUUGAUGGAGGAGGAAUCUCUCGGCUUCAUCUAGGCUGAAGGCUGGAAGCCUCAAGCGGACAGGUUCCAAGUUGCCAUCACUGUGCAUUCUGCUCGCAACGUGGCUCCUCCCAAGCUAUUAUUUGCCGGGAAGACCCGGGACAAGGUUUGACUCAGUCGUGCCGGCGGGGCGGGAUACUCUGGCUUCGGGUAGACGGGCGACGCGGAGCGGGAGAAGCUGUGGAUCGGCUGCGCGCGGGGCGGUAGGCCGGACCUUUCCGGGUUCGGCCCGACUCAAGCGGGUCUCCCUCCACUCGGUUCUCGGGAGCAUUCUGGGGGAGAUGAGGUCGGGCCCGGUUCGGCCCGCCAGGCCCGCCGGGAUAGGCAGCCGGAAAGCCUUCGGACCGGCCGGGUGUUCGGGGAGGCCGUGCGAGCCGGACCGUUUCAAGCCCGAACAAAGCUGAGCGGUUCUGUCCGACCUGACAUCUUUACAGCCCUUGAUAAAUGAUGAUCCCAGAUGGGGAUUUAAAGCCUGAAUUGAAACCCUUUCCUCCUUUGUAUGGAAGGAAUGCGCCUUAAGAGACAUGUUUUGUUUUAAUAAAUCCUAUUGUCUUGAUGUAUCAGUUCCUAAACCGUUCCUUAUUCUUCCCUUGUGUUCUUUUG